rnacentral:lncRNA from 1 species
AACUUUAUUAUCUCUGCAGCAAGAAGUCUAUUAUGACUUUAUGUUUUUUAAAACUAUCGUUUGUUAUUUCUACAUAGAAAAUUGUUGUUCGCUGUGUUUUUUUCCCUCAGUUUGUCUUGGGCUUCUGAUUUGUGCCUUAAACCAGAUUCCUCAGUUAAAAUGGAGACAGCUUCAUGGAAUAGUUUGAGUUCCUGCAUGGAAUAGUUAGAGUUCCAAAAGAAGCUGGUUCGGUCUUGCUGACCUUUUUCCAGAUGAUCAUAAUACUUUUCAUUGUGUGAGAAUAGCUAAGGACCAUUACUUAGGGAGUCUCAGCUUGCUGGCAUUCCAUCAUGCAAUAUUUGAAAAUUAAAAUAUAUUCUUGUGUGUGGGAACGUGUCUGUGCGCGGGAACGUGUCUGUGUGCAUGUGUGUUGAAAGGAAAAAGUUCUCGACUGUGUGAAAGCAUUAUUCGCUUUCAUGAUUUCUACCAAUCUUUUGUUUAGGUGUUCGUUCCUUUAUACUCUUUCAUGUUGUACACUAAUCAUCCUUGUGUAUUACUGUUUUAGAUUUACUUACAGUCCUUUUCAUGUAGAAGAGAACUUUGCUUGGAACUUAUUGAAAUUCCAAACACGAAUCAUCAUACACAGGUUCAUGUGCCUAUACACUUCUCAUGCAUGUUGGUCCACAUCCUUUACGUGUCA